UGAAGCGAUUCAAAACUGUGUGAAUCUUCUCUUCCAUCUCGGCCAGUCAUCUGGCUGCCGAAAGUUGAAAGGACCUGAUGGUUCGAGUCGUAUGAGUCCCACUCCUGUUGCCAUGUGGUGUUAUACGAUUUGUAUUUACUCUACUCAACACACUAGAGCUCAACACACUACGAAGAUACAAUAAUUACGCAUGCGUGUCACUACGCUAUGAAUAGAGUCAUUCUACAAAGCCUCUUGAAAUUCCGUCGCCCCAUCCUUUUGUAUUGUAGCUAGGGAUUGUGUUUACUUGACAACCGAGAAAUACCUUCAAGAGCUGAAUGCCACCUACAGUAAACUAUUCACACGUCCGGUACUUUACUAGAAGUUUGCAUUUUUACUGUAAUUUCCAUGACAGGGUUUCAACAAAUACGGAUGCUGUCUAGCUAGGGCGACGUUUCAGUAGACGGUCAGAAAACUUCGUUGCGACGUGUUACUAACCAACGGGAGGUGCUUACGGAUACAGUAAAACUAAUUUAAUUAAUAGCAAAUAGUUUCUGCAAAUUAGUAAUUUGUGAGAGUAGCCUUCCUGGGCGAAGCCAGGCAAUGAAUAGUAAGGAGAUGGAAGGUGCUGGAAGAGAGGAGUGGUUACGCAUGCUCAGUCUCGCAUGUUACAUUCGUAUGGCGCGAAGAUCAAAGUUACGACGAAACUUUUGACCAGAGAAGCUGCGCACGGUGACAUCACAGAAGUCACGUAUGCGCGGUACAGGCACGCGAAGACCAUACAUGUUCCUCAAAGGGGUCCCAAGAGACAUACAUGCUCAUCUAGCUUUCCAUCUAACAAGAGUAGUAAUUCAACAUACUCAAACAAUUCUAGAGGGCAAUUUACGCAAGCAACAACUGUCCUGAGAUCUGGACGUACUCUAACUGAGCAUGCGCAAUCAAUCUCCUGCUCUUCAGAAUUCCAGUCUCUUCCAGCCUUUUCCAGAAGAGGUCGAUCGAACGCGACACAGAAUGGGCUCUAUUUGGCUAGUUAGCUAAAUGACCGAUAACUUAUUGGCUUUAAUAACUGGAGAAGUCUGCUGCAUGAAGAACUUCACUGAACUUAGGGAUUGGUAUUGUGGUUUACAGAUGUCAAACAUUAUAUUUUACAAGUAAUGUGUAGGUGGUCCAAGAAUUCGUUCAUAUUGGAAUGAGUAUUAUGGCAACAAGCAAGCUGUUGUUUUUGUUGUUGAUUGCAGUAGCAGUGAUGAUCAAUUGCUGGUUACUCAAAAGGAACUGAGGGAUGUAUUAUGCAAUUCUAUUUUACGGGACCUACCAUUUCUGAUUAUAAUGAAUAAAGCUGAUUUGCCUGGUGCACAAACUGCUGAUGAGAUUUUAUCCCAGCUCUGUGUUGAAGACUUGUGUAAAAAUCGACCCUGGAUGUCAGCGUAUUGUUCAGCUACAGACAAAGAGAAACUGACAGAGAUAUUUGAAGAAUUUGCUGAGCUUUUGUCUAUGUCAAAAACACAUGCAGAUGACGCAUCUCUAUAACCGUUUGAGCAUUAUGUCAGGUGUAUCUAGUCAUUAUAUUUUAGUGGCUAGGGCAGCCACUGUAUGACAAGUGGCAAUGCUGGUUUUGGAGCACUUAAAAUUUCGUAGCAAAGUUGAGUAUUAUACGGAGGAGUUCUGGACCACAUUUUGAGACGCUGAUAGAAAGUCUUGCUAUUUUAAUUGGGCUUCUUCAUGGUUG